ACGGCUCAGUAACACGUAGCUAACCUACCCUUGGGACGGGAAUAACCCCGGGAAACUGAGGUUAAUACCCGAUAGGUGUGGAUUCCUGGAAUGGUUCCACGCCCAAAUGUAAACGCAUCCAUGUUUGCGUGCACGCCCGAGGAUGGGGCUGCGGCCGAUCAGGCAGUUGGUGAGGUAACGGCUCACCAAACCUUUGACCGGUACGGGCCAUGAGAGUGGUAGCCCGGAGAUGGGCACUGAGACAAGGGCCCAGGCCCUACGGGGCGCAGCAGGCGCGAAACCUCCACAAUUCACGAAAGUGAGAUGGGGUUACCUCGAGUGCCGCCUGAAGAAGGCGGCUUUUCCAUUGUGUAAUGAGCCGUGGGAAUAAGGGGGGGCAAGACUGGUGUCAGCCGCCGCGGUAACACCAGCCCCCCGAGUGGUGGGGAUGAUUAUUUGGCCUAAAGCGUCCGUAGCCGGCUCCGUAAAUCUCUCGUUAAAUCCAACGUCCUAAGCGUUGGGCUGCGAGAGAGACUGCGAAGCUAGAGGGUGGGAGAGGUCAGCGGUAUUCCUGGGGUAGGGGCGAAAUCCAUUGAUCCCAGGAGGACCACCAGUGGCGAAGGCUGCUGACUAGAACACGCCUGACGGUGAGGGACGAAAGCUGGGGUAGCGAAUCGGAUUAGAUACCCGAGUAGUCCCAGCCGUAAACGAUGCAGGCUAGGUGUUGGGUUGGCCACGCGCCAGCUCAGUGCCACAGGGAAGCCAUUAAGCCUGCCGCCUGGGGAGUACGGCCGCAAGGCUGAAACUUAAAGGAAUUGGCGGGGGAGCACCACCAGGCGUGAAGCCUGCGGUUUAAUUGGAGUCAACGCCGGAAA
rnacentral:rRNA from 1 species